CCUUGUUGUAUCAAUGAGAGAGUGAUAGACGCUCUACCAGGGACAAGACAGGUUGCAUUUACAGCAUCAGUGGUCAGAGGAAUGAGUUCUGACUGCCUCGUGACAUCAAACCAGAAGAUCAGACAUCAAAAAGCAAAUGAUACCAUUUUUUAGAGAACUCCAACCAAACCUACUCACAAAACAAGUUCAUACCAUUUUGAUAUUUUAUUUACAGACUGGCUCUUCGAGCUGCUGCGCCCAUGGGUGUGAAGGUUCUCCAGUGUUUUCCCUGGUACAGGAGGUGUAAAGACAGAGGCAAGGGCAGACACUGCCCUCCUAAAGCAGUUCCAUACAUUGAAGCGGAGCCCCAGUUUGCCCCGACAACCUAUGCCAGCGCUGGAGGAGGAGUUGUCUACUUUUCCCACAAGGCAAGAGUGGCCUACAGACAUCAGAUGGAAGGCAACGUUAUAGAUACCACCUACUGACCCCUAGCCUCAUCCUGCAGCCCCCUGCUGCCGAAACACCCCUCAAAGACUGUCUGCUCAGAAUCCUCUGUCUCACAACAGACUAUAUCCCAGUUCUUCAAUGAUCUUGUUUGUAGUUGAGGAGCUCAGUUCAUCUCAAUGUUAGAGAUAGUUGCUUGAAUGAAGAUGGAGGCUGAGUAGCACUUUUGAGAACAGAAGAAAACACUUUUGUAGAUAAGGGUAAAGAAAAUGUGUUUACGCUAUUACCUUGAAGUGCAUUCUUCUUGUUUUAUCAUUUGUCACUUUAUUUAUUGUGCUAGGGUCAAUGUUGAGUAUUUAUUGUUUUAGGGUGAAUGUUUUGCAUCUAAAUGACGUUUUGUAGUUGUCCACUUGCUGUAAAAUCCCAUCUAGCAACUGGUGUUGUAGACUAGUCAUAACUAAUGCACGGCUAUGCUAUAAUUCUACAACUGGUGUUGUAGACUAGUCAUAACUAAUGCACGGCUAUGCUAUAAUUCUACAACUGGUGUUGUAGACUAGUCAUAACUAAUGCACGGCUAUGCUAUAAUUCUACAACUGGUGUUGUAGACUAGUCAUAACUAAUGCACGGCUAUGCUAUAAUUCUACAACUGGUGUUGUAGACUAGUCAUAACUAAUGCACGGCUAUGCUAUAAUUCUACAACUGGUGUUGUAGACUAGUCAUAACUAAUGCACGGCUAUGCUAUAAUUCUACAACUGGUGUUGUAGACUAGUCAUAACUAAUGCACGGCUAUGCUAUAAUUCUGUCAAUUAUUUCUGUCACUUUAUAUUCUAUUUGUGUUGUUUCUUUUGAAAUAAUGGAACAAUACUAAUGUUACAUUACUAAUAAUGUAACAAGUCUAUUUUAAAAUAGUGUUGGAUUGUCUUGCAGUUUGAUUAUGGAACAUUGCUACAGUGUCCGUCUAGUUCGGUCCAUGUUCACUGUUAUCCUAUCACAGCCUUUCAAUAGUUUUGAGUAAGAAUGGGAUAUACUCAACAAGCAGGCCUUUAUGAGUAAGGUAUAAUCAACUAAAAUAAUGAACAACAUGGAAGGUGUGUUCCAAGAUGCGCUAGCAAAGUGGCGUCUAACAAAUGACACAUUAUUUUCCAGAGAACACAGAGCCCUGAGUUGAUUAUCCCUUUUAUACCAUGGCUCAAAUUUAAAAAAAACAUAAUUUGUACAUUUUUAUUUAACUAUGCAAGACAGCUAAGAACACAUUCUUAUUUAGAAUGACAGCCUACCGGGGAACAGUGGGUUGGUUAACUGCCCUGUUCAGGGGCAGAAUGACAGCUUUUUACCUUGUCAGCUCAGGAUUCAAUCCAGCAACCUUACGGUUACAGGCCCAACGCUCUAACCACUAGGCUACCUGCACUAGGCUACCUGCACUAGGCUACCUGCACUAGGCUACCUGCACUAGGCUACCUGCAGCCCUGGCAUUUGCCACUAGAAAUGUGUUCACUUGCAGGAAGAAAUGUGUUCAACAUUCACUGAAGUAGCUGGCAAGUUUACUAGAUAGCUGCAGGAGAUGCCUUGGUAACCAAACAGACUUGCUGGUUUAGCUAACCAUCAGCUUGCUAUUAUGAAAAUCAAAUUCAACAAUGCCAAUAGUGUUUUCAAUUCGACUUUCUUUCAAAAGCAGCUCAAACAUAGAACAUGAAAGAAUUAACUAUAGCCAUUGAAUUCUACUAUGCUGAUAUACUGUGCGUUAUAGGGAAUUAUACAACGGGUGGGUCUGAUCCUGGACGCUAAUUGGUUAAAACAGCAUUCCAGCAGGUGUCUAUUCCCCAAAUUACCACAAGCUAAAGCUAUGAUAUUGAAAUGCCUAUUUACUCUGUUCCAUCUCACUGCCCAAUCCACUGUCUCAUCAGCCCAGCCAGACAAUUUAUAAACUUCAUCCCCACUAUAAAAAGCAUCUAGACAUUAUCUCCUAUUUCUUUUAGACUAGCAAUCGGUUUUCAAUAACAGAGAUUUGUAUAAAACUUGCAGUCUGACUCUCUGACAUUUGCAACAUUGUUUCAUAUUGAAAUUCGAUCUCUUGCUGUCCCAUAGUAAUGAACAUGUAGGGAUCGGGAGUCGGGACGAGAAAGACAGGCAACUUUUCUCAGCCAGUCGAAAUCAUGAAUCAGCUUCAUUUUUAUGGACAAAUACAAAGACAUUUCAAUAGAGAACAGAUAAAACUAAAUGCAGCUAGCUUGCAGUCUUUCCAGCUUCAGUUUGAAGUGAUUGUGUUAGCUGUGCUGUUGGCUAGCUCCUCUGAACAACAGUGCCCUGACGAGAGAGCACAUUUUUUAUGCCAGGUGAAAUCACGCAUCAUUAGCUCAUUCUUAUGCAUGUAUUCAAAUAAAUGUUACUGGAAAACAGCUUAUGCAAAUGCAGCUACUUUGUUGUUAUUCUGGCUGCAUUGUUUGGCGUGACUGUAAGUUAGCUGUAGUUGGUUAGCUAGCAAACAAGGGAUAAUAACAUAUAGCAAUAGAACAUUUAGAAGAAUGACUGGGUGGUGUCCAACUGUCCAUAGAUACAGAACAAAAAGUCUAAACGACUAUGUCACGUCUAUGGCAACCGAACCGAUAGAACAAAUGACCAGCCGGCUUGGGUAGCAACCCUAGAUAUGUGUCAGGACUAUGUCUCGUGGAAGGAUGAAAUAGUAUGAAUAAAUUAAUCAAAAUAAAGUUAAUGAAAAUAUGUCAAUCA